CGUGCUAGGCGGGGAGUUAGCGGUGCCCUCAACUCGUAAUCCGCUCCAACGGGGCUUAAUUCCAAUCCGAGGGCUGAGUGAGUCUUCCUCUGGUAAGAGGAGUCUGUAUUGAGAGCCGGGUCCUGCGCGGCGAAAGUCUGUGAAUCCCGUCAGGUUCGAAAGAAAGCAGCGGUAAGCAGUGCCUUUCGGGUGUUGCAGGAUUACCUGGUUUGAGCAGAUUUAUCUUGGUAUGUUGAUUCCUUGGUUCGACGAGAGGUGCACG
rnacentral:SRP_RNA from 1 species